GACGAACGCUGGCGGCGUGCUUAACACAUGCAAGUCGAGCGACUGCAUUCUUUUCGGAGGGUGUAUGGAGCGGCGAACGGGUGAGUAACACGUGAGUAAUCUGCCUUUGGCUUGGGAAUAACUUCGGGAAAUCGGGGCUAAUGCCUGAUGUUUACUGUCUGCUGCAUGGUGGGUGGUGGAAAGAUUUUUUGGCCGAGGAGUGAGCUCGCGGUCUAUCAGCNGUUGGUGGGGUAAUGGCUUACCAAGGCUUUGACGGGUAGCCGGCCUGAGAGGGUGUUCGGCCACACUGGGACUGAGACACGG
rnacentral:rRNA from 1 species